rnacentral:rRNA from 1 species
CAGCAGCCACGGUAAUACGAAGGGUGCAAGCGUUAAUCGGAAUUACUGGGCGUAAAGCGUGCGUAGGCGGUGAGUUAAGUCUGCUGUGAAAUCCCGGGGCUCAACCUGGGAAUGGCAGUGGAUACUGGCUCGCUAGAGUGUGUCAGAGGAUGGUGGAAUUCCCGGUGUAGCGGUGAAAUGCGUAGAGAUCGGGAGGAACAUCAGUGGCGAAGGCGGCCAUCUGGGACAACACUGACGCUGAGGCACGAAAGCGUGGGGAGCAAACAGGAUUAGAUACCCGAGUAGUCCCUGUCUCUUAUAA